ensembl:lncRNA
GGACAUUGCUCUCUUCUCACUGAUGCACAUCACAUGGUGGUCAUGGGAGGGAUGAGAUGGCAAAUCCAAGUGAUGCUGUUGCACUGAUAACCAGGAUGAUGAUGAUACUGAUGAUGAUGAUGAUGAUGGGUGGGUGAUGAAUCAGGUGCAAACAGAGGUUCUUCAGAAGAGGCAACAGAAGAAAUCACAUGUGAUGAAGGUCAUUAAGAAAUAUCAGAAAGGUCAGCACAUCUCUCUGCUCAGGAUGCUAGGAACCAGAGAAAAGAAAGUCUUCAGUGGAACACUCACAAGAGUUAUGAUGAUGUAUCCAGGUUUUGGGACAAAACAG